rnacentral:rRNA from 1 species
AGUGAACGCUGGCGGUAGGCCUAACACAUGCAAGUCGAACCGCAGCACAGUAAGAGCUUGCUCUUACGGGUGGCGAGUGGCGGACGGGUGAGGAAUACAUCGGAAUCUACUUUUUCGUGGGGGAUAACGUAGGGAAACUUACGCUAAUACCGCAUACGACCUACGGGUGAAAGCAGGGGAUCUUUGGACCUUGCGCGAUUGAAUGAGCCGAUGUCGGAUUAGCUAGUUGGCGGGGUAAAGGCCCACCAAGGCGACGCUCCGUAGCUGGUCUGAGAGGAUGAUCACCCACACUGGAACUGAGACACGGUCCAGACUCCUCCGGGAGGCAGCAGUGGGGAAUAUUGGACAAUGGGCGCAAGCCUGAUCCAGCCAUACCGCGUGGGUGAAGAAGGCCUUCGGGUUGUAAAGCCCUUUUGUUGGGAAAGAAAAGCAGCAGGUUAAUACCCCGCUGUUCUGACGGUACCCAAAGAAUAAGCACCGGCUAACUUCGUG